AUUGAACGCUGGCGGCAGGCCUAACACAUGCAAGUCGAACGGUAACAGGAAGAAGCUUGCUUCUUUGCUGACGAGUGGCGGACGGGUGAGUAAUGUCUGGGAAACUGCCUGAUGGAGGGGGAUAACUACUGGAAACGGUAGCUAAUACCGCAUAACGUCGCAAGACCAAAGAGGGGGACCGUCGGGCCUCUUGCCAUCGGAUGUGCCCAGAUGGGAUUAGCUAGUAGGUGGGGUAACGGCUCACCUAGGCGACGAUCCCUAGCUGGUCUGAGAGGAUGACCAGCCACACUGGAACUGAGACACGGUCCAGACUCCUACGGGAGGCAGCAGUGGGGAAUAUUGCACAAUGGGCGCAAGCCUGAUGCAGCCAUGCCGCGUGUAUGAAGAAGGCCUUCGGGUUGUAAAGUACUUUCAGCGGGGAGGAAGGGAGUAAAGUUAAUACCUUUGCUCAUUGACGUUACCCGCAGAAGAAGCACCGGCUAACUCCGUG
rnacentral:rRNA from 1 species